rnacentral:rRNA from 1 species
GAUGAACGCUAGCGGCAGGCCUAACACAUGCAAGUCGAGGGUAACAGGGAUUGCUUGCAAUCCGCUGACGACCGGCGCACGGGUGCGUAACGCGUAUACAAUCUACCUUUUGCUGAGGGAUAGCCCAGAGAAAUUUGGAUUAACCCCUCAUAGUAUGAUUAUUUGGCAUCAAAAUAUCAUUAAAGGUUACGGCAAAAGAUGAGUAUGCGUUCUAUUAGCUAGAUGGUGUGGUAACGGCACACCAUGGCAACGAUAGAUAGGGGCCCUGAGAGGGGGAUCCCCCACACUGGUACUGAGACACGGACCAG